UACGUAGGGGGCUAGCGUUGUCCGGAAUCAUUGGGCGUAAAGCGCGUGUAGGCGGUCCGGUAAGUCCGCUGUGAAAGUCGAGGGCUCAACCCUCGAAUGCCGGUGGAUACUGUCGGGCUUGAGUACGGGAGAGGCGAGUGGAAUUCCUGGUGUAGCGGUGAAAUGCGCAGAUAUCAGGAGGAACACCAAUAGCGAAGGCAGCUCGCUGGGACGUUACUGACACUAAGGCGCGAAAGCGUGGGGAGCGAACAGG
rnacentral:rRNA from 1 species